rnacentral:tRNA from 1 species
GGGAGUGUAGUUUAGUUGUAGAACACUUGCCUAGCAUAUGCAAGGCCCUGGGUUCCACCCCCAGCAGCUCCC